rfam:Actinobacteria bacterium RBG_16_67_10 RBG_16_scaffold_22035, whole genome shotgun sequence.
GUGAGCGUAACGGGGAGCUCGGGCAACCGGGCUGAGAGGGCGGAAAAGCGCACCGCCGACCCGCAGAACCUGAUCUGGGUAAUGCCAGCGGAGGAAGGCGUGUCGAACGAGGUC